UAAUAAUGGAUUCUCCCCAAGUUGGAUCUUAUGCAUCAAUAGUAAGUGGUUAUUAAAGAACGAUGGAAUGCCCUUUAACACUCUAGUCUUGUCCAUUUCAUAGAAAAAUUGGAAUAAAUACCUUUUCUCACCAAGAUCUAAAAUGAAUAUCCCUCCAAUUGGGUGCCAUAAAUCAGCCAUAAUAUUCUGUAGAUAAAGGAAAUUGACAACACUAUUAGUCAGGCAUCGUCCCA
rnacentral:lncRNA from 1 species